rnacentral:lncRNA from 12 species
AGGCAGUGUUCAUGAAAAGUGUGUCCUCCCCUGGGCAACCCUGGCCUCCCUCCCUAUGCUUCUCAGCUUCUCUUUCUGGGGCAGCAAGGAAAGCAUGGCCAUGUGUCCCAGUCCAUGAAAAGAGCUGUCUGGACCAUUAUCACCUAGGGCUCAUGUAUCUUCACCAUCAAUGUUCCUCUGUUUAA